rnacentral:rRNA from 1 species
CCUACGGGAGGCUGCAGUGAGGAAUAUUGGUCAAUGGACGAGAGUCUGAACCAGCCAAGUCGCGUGAAGGAUGACUGCCCUAUGGGUUGUAAACUUCUUUUAUAUGGGAAUAAAACAGGGUAUGCAUACCCUCUUGUAUGUACCAUAUGAAUAAGGAUCGGCUAACUCCGUGCCAGCAGCCGCGGUAAUACGGAGGAUCCGAGCGUUAUCCGGAUUUAUUGGGUUUAAAGGGUGCGUAGGUGGACUGUUAAGUUAGUGGUGAAAGUUUGAGGCUCAACCGUGAAAUUGCAUUUGAAACUGGCAGUCUUGAGAACAGUUGAGGUGGGCGGAAUUCGUGGUGUAGCGGUGAAAUGCUUAGAUAUCACGAAGAACUCCGAUUGCGAAGGCAGUUCACUGGACUGCAACUGACACUGAGGCUCGAAAGUGUGGGUAUCAAACAGGAUUAGAUACCCGUGUAGUC